GAUGAACGCUGACAGAAUGCUUAACACAUGCAAGUCUACUUGAAUUUGGGUUUUUAUCUUAGGUUUGGGUGUCGCACGGGUGAGUAUCGCGUAAAGAUCUUGCCCCACAGCUAGUGACAAAAUUUGGAAACGAAUGCUAUUAUCUAAUAUUAUGAUAAUAGGACAUUCUAUAUUUAUGAAAGCUAUAAGCGCUGUGAGAGAGCUUCGCGUCCCAUUAGCUAGUUGGAGAGGUAACGGCUCACCAAGGCGAUGAUGGGUAGCCGGCCUGAGAGGGUGAUCGGCCACAAGGGGACUGAGACACGGCCCUUACUCCUACGGGAGGCAGCAGUGGGGAAUAUUGGACAAUGGACCGAGAGUCUGAUCCAGCAAUUCUGUGUGCACGAUGAGGUUUUUCGGAAUGUAAAGUGCUUUCAGUUGAGAAGAAACAAAUGACGGUACCAACAGAAGAAGUGACGGCUAAAUACGUG
rnacentral:rRNA from 1 species